rnacentral:rRNA from 1 species
AAUUCGCCCUUGAGCACGUAGGUGGGUUUGUAAGUCAGGUGUGAAAGCCUUCUGUUCAACGGGAGAAUUGCAUCUGAAACUACGAAUCUUGAGUGUAGGAGGGGAGAAUGGAACUUCUGGUGGAGCGGUGAGAUCCGUAGAUAUCAGAAGGAACGCCGGCGGCGAAAGCGAUUCUCUGGCCUAUUACUGACACCCAGUGUGCGAAAGCUAGGGGAGCAAACGGGAUUAGAUACCCCGGUAGUCCUAGCCGUAAACGAUGGGCACUAAGUAGAGGGGAUUACCGACGUUCUCUCUGCCGUAGCUAACGCAUUAAGUGCCCCGCCUGGGGAGUACGGCCGCAAGGCUAAAACUCAAAAGAAUUGACGGGGGCUCGCACAAGCGGUGGAGCAUGUGGCUUAAUUCGAUGCAACGCGAAGAACCUUACCGGGGCUUGACAUGGUAGAAGUAGGAACCCGAAAGGGUAACGAACGGUAUCCAGUCCGUGACUAUCACAGGUGUUGCAUGGCUGCCGUCAGCUCGUGUCGUGAGACGUUGGGUUAAGUCCCCUAACGAGCGAAACCCUUGUUUUUAGUUACCAGCGGGUUAUGCCGGGUACUCUAGAAAGACUGCCGUCGUCAAGACGGAGGAAGGUGGGGAUGACGUCAAGUCAUCAUGGCCCUUAUGCCCCGGGCUGCACACGUGCUACAAUGGUCGGUACAAACGGAAGCGAAGCCGAGAGGUGAAGCGAAUCCAAGGGCGAAUU